UACGGGAGGCAGCAGUGGGGAAUAUUGGACAAUGGGCGCAAGCCUGAUCCAGCCAUACCGCGUGGGUGAAGAAGGCCUUCGGGUUGUAAAGCCCUUUUGUUGGGAAAGAAAUCCAGCUGGCUAAUACCCGGUUGGGAUGACGGUACCCAAAGAAUAAGCACCGGCUAACUUCGUGCCAGCAGCCGCGGUAA
rnacentral:rRNA from 1 species